rnacentral:rRNA from 1 species
GACGAACGCUGGCGGCGUGCCUAAUACAUGCAAGUUGAGCGAUGAAGAUUGGUGCUUGCACCAAUUUGAAGAGCAGCGAACGGGUGAGUAACGCGUGGGGAAUCUGCCUUUGAGCGGGGGACAACAUUUGGAAACGAAUGCUAAUACCGCAUAACAACUUUAAACAUAAGUUUUAAGUUUGAAAGAUGCAAUUGCAUCACUCAAAGAUGAUCCCGCGUUGUAUUAGCUAGUUGGUGAGGUAAAGGCGCACCAAGGCGAGGAUACAUAGCCGACCUGAGAGGGUGAUCGGCCACAUUGGGACUGAGACACGGCCCAAACUCCUACGGGAGGCAGCAGUAGGGAAUCUUCGGCAAUGGACGAAAGUCUGACCGAGCAACGCCGCGUGAGGGAAGAAGGUUUUCGGAUCGUAAAACUCUGUUGGUAGAGAAGAACGUUGGUGAGAGUGGAAAGCUCAUCAAGUGACGGUAACUACCCAGAAAGGGACGGCUAACUACGUG